GGAUCUUUGGGUUCAGUUGAGAGUAAC
rnacentral:piRNA from 1 species